UAGGGAAUCUUCCACAAUGGACGAAAGUCUGAUGGAGCAACGCCGCGUGAGUGAAGAAGGGUUUCGGCUCGUAAAACUCUGUUGUUAAAGAAGAACAUAUCUGAGAGUAACUGUUCAGGUAUUGACGGUAUUUAACCAGAAAGCCACGGCUAACUACGUGCCG
rnacentral:rRNA from 1 species